GCUUACGGCCAUACCACCCUGAAUGCGCCGAUUUCGUCUGAUCUCGGAAGCUAAGCAGGGUCAGGCCUGGUUAGUACUUGGAUGGGAGACCGCCUGGGAAUACCAGGUGCUGUAAGCU
rnacentral:rRNA from 1 species